rnacentral:lncRNA from 1 species
GGCCGUAACUACCUAUGAGGCAGGGGAGGCAACUGCCUCCCCUAAAUUUUCUACACCAAUUUUUUUUUUUGACGUAAUAAAAUAUUGACAAUAUGUCCAUGAAGAAUUUGAAUUUAUAGUAUAAACAACACAAGUUUACAGUUUUAACAGUGUUAUCAUGAUACGUGAUAUAUGUCUCUUUCGAUUUUUGUUCGAUAGUGAAACGUUUCAGUAUUUGUUUGGGGUUUUUUUUUGUUCGUUUGGCCGUCCAUCUGUUAUUCAGUAUUCGUACGAGAACACAUAUUAAACUUUGCUUCUCGAUAAUUUAGAAUAAAACAUAUCUGUUCGCAUUUAUUAAGGGACUCAAUGAAGCAUAGGAAGUUCCCUUUGUGUUGUGAAUCUUUAAUAAUAUUGGAAAUUCG